CCUUAGCUCAGUUGGUAGAGCAACUGACUCUUAAUCAGUGGGUCUAGGGUUCGAAUCCCUA
rnacentral:tRNA from 1 species